AGAGUUUGAUCCUGGCUCAGGAUGAACGCUAGCUACAGGCUUAACACAUGCAAGUCGAGGGGAAACGAUAUUGGAAGCUUGCUUCCGAUAGGCGUCGACCGGCGCACGGGUGAGUAACGCGUAUCCAACCUGCCCAUCACUUGGGGAUAACCUUGCGAAAGUAAGACUAAUACCCAAUGACGUCUCUAGAAGACAUCUGAAAGAGAUUAAAGAUUUAUCGGUGAUGGAUGGGGAUGCGUCUGAUUAGCUUGUUGGCGGGGUAACGGCCCACCAAGGCGACGAUCAGUAGGGGUUCUGAGAGGAAGGUCCCCCACAUUGGAACUGAGACACGGUCCAAACUCCUACGGGAGGCAGCAGUGAGGAAUAUUGGUCAAUGGGCGAGAGCCUGAACCAGCCAAGUAGCGUGCAGGAUGACGGCCCUAUGGGUUGUAAACUGCUUUUAUAAGGGAAUAAAGUGAGCCUCGUGAGGCUUUUUGCAUGUACCUUAUGAAUAAGGACCGGCUAAUUCCGUGCCAGCAGCCGCGGUAAUACGGAAGGUCCGGGCGUUAUCCGGAUUUAUUGGGUUUAAAGGGAGCGUAGGCCGGAGAUUAAGCGUGUUGUGAAAUGUAGACGCUCAACGUCUGCACUGCAGCGCGAACUGGUUUCCUUGAGUACGCACAAAGUGGGCGGAAUUCGUGGUGUAGCGGUGAAAUGCUUAGAUAUCACGAAGAACUCCGAUUGCGAAGGCAGCUCACUGGAGCGCAACUGACGCUGAAGCUCGAAAGUGCGGGUAUCGAACAGGAUUAGAUACCCUGGUAGUCCGCACGGUAAACGAUGGAUGCCCGCUGUUGGUCUGAAUAGGUCAGCGGCCAAGCGAAAGCAUUAAGCAUCCCACCUGGGGAGUACGCCGGCAACGGUGAAACUCAAAGGAAUUGACGGAAGGGCGAAUUCC
rnacentral:rRNA from 1 species